UUUUCCCUGCGCUGUUGGUGAUUUGUAGUGUUGUUGAGCCAACUCUCUUAAAUAGGGACUUACCACUGUUUUCGGAUGGAAGGUCGAAAGACUUUCCUGAGGUCGUCAUGCGAGUCCCACCUAUUUCGAUAGGUUCUAUCUGUCCUGCAGACACGGCAGGGUGGGGAAAUA
rnacentral:other from 2 species